rnacentral:rRNA from 1 species
UACAGAGGUCCCAAGCGUUGUUCGGAAUUACUGGGCGUAAAGGGCUCGUAGGCGGCCAACUAAGUCGGAUGUGAAAUCCCCAGGCUUAACUUGGGAACUGCAUCCGAUACUGGAUGGCUUGAAUCCGGGAGAGGGAUGCGGAAUUCCAGGUGUAGCGGUGGAAAUGCGUAGAUAUCAAGAGGAACACCUGCGGCGAAGGCGGGUGCUGGGCUGACACUGACGCUGAGGCGCGAAAGCUAGGGGAGCGAACGGG